UACGAAGGGGGCUAGCGUUGCUCGGAAUCACUGGGCGUAAAGCGCACGUAGGCGGCUUUCUAAGUCAGGGGUGAAAUCCUGGAGCUCAACUCCAGAACUGCCUUUGAUACUGGAGAGCUUGAGUCCGGAAGAGGUGAGUGGAACUCCGAGUGUAGAGGUGAAAUUCGUAGAUAUUCGGAAGAACACCAGUGGCGAAGGCGGCUCACUGGUCCGGUACUGACGCUGAGGCGCGAAAGCUAGGGGAGCAAACGGG
rnacentral:rRNA from 1 species